CUCACCUCUCCCCACUCUCUCACCUCUCCCUCCCUCUCUCACCUCUCCCCCCUCUCUCACCUCUCCCCCCUCUCUCACCUCUCCCCCCUCUCUCACCUCUCCCUCCCUCUCUCACCUCUCCCCGCUCUCUCACCUCUCCCCCCUCUCUCACCUCUACCCCGCUCUCUCACCUCUCCCUCCCUCUCUCACCUCUCCCCGCUCUCUCACCUCUCCCCCCUCUCUCACCUCUACCCCGCUCUCUCACCUCUCCCUCCCUCUCUCACCUCUCCCCAGCUCUCUCAAUUCAAUUUAAGGGUUUUUAUUGACACUGGAAACAUAUGUUUUUCAUUGCCAAAGCAAGUGAAAUAGAUAAACAAAAGUGAAAUAAACAAUACAAAUAAAAUGAACAUUAAACAUUACACUCACAAAAGUACCAAAUGAAUAAAUACAAUGUCAAAUGUCUUAUUAUGUCUAUAUACAGUGUUGUAAUGAUGUGCAAAUAGUUAAAGUACACCUCUCCCACUUCCCCUCUUCCCCACUCUCUCAAAGGAAACUAAGGUGUCUUCUCUCCUCUCUCCCACUUCCCCUCUUCCCCACUCUCUCAAAGGAAACUAAGGUGUCUUCUCUCCUCUCUCCCACUUCCCCUCUUCCCCACUCUCUCAAAGGAAACUAAGGUGUCUUCUCUCCUCUCUCACCCUUCCCCUCUUCCCCACUCUCUCAAAGGAAACUAAGGUGUCUUCUCUCCUCUCUCACCCUUCCCCUAUUCCCCACUCUCUCAAAGGAAACUAAGGUGUCUUCUCUCCUCUCUCACCCUUCCCCUAAUAGCUAGCUAAGUCAACCAGUGGACAGGGAGACCUUGUUAACUCAGAUGAUGUUGAUUAGGACGUGUGGUGAGUUCAAGCAGGGCAGGUCAGCAUGGAACUCAAUUCAUCCCAGAUGGAGCCUUCUCCUCCCUGUUUAAGACUUUAUAAGGAACACAUGUCGGCCAAGGUGUGCCUUCUUUAAGGCCUUGAAAUCAGGGCUCGGCCUCGGCCCAUUUGGGAUGGUUAUUGAGAGAGUUGUAAAGUGAAUCAGAUAUUGCAAAGGCAUAAGAAAAGGGAGCUUUUGGGUUUGGCUUGGGCUUGGUUUUUGGGUUAGGUUUUCUCAUGUGAAAUGCGAAUUUGGAAGAAAGACAUCCAUUUAUGACACAAUAACAAAGCUUGGCCCAAUACAGUUUUAUAUUAAAUGUGUAUUUGCUUGUCUUAUUUCAAACAUCCUCAGAGAGGCACAAACCUGUGUAAACUUCAACUUCAUAAUGUUACACACUUACAUGCUAACAUACGACAAUCAUUAUCAGAUGUCAUUUUGGGAUGUCCACUGAUUAACCAAGCAUCUCUUCCUGUGGGAGUUAAUAUGUGGUAAAGCUAAAAGCACAUCCAUGUUUGGAGCUGUUUGGAGCUGUUGUAUGACGUGAGUCCAUUAAACUGUUGCACCUAACAGCAUUCGCUCACUUUAGCUAACUAUGCUAGCCGAUGUUAAGCUGCAUAAUGGAAGACACAGAGUCAAGCCAACUGUGCUGUAGUGUAAAACAUCUCUUCUGUAAUGUACAUUCUUAGGAAAAAAAGAUGCUAUCUAGAACCUAAAAUGGUUCUUCGGCUGUCCCCAUAGGAAAACCCUUUGAGGAACCCUUUUUGGUUCCAGGAAGAACCCCUUUGAGUGCCAUAUACAACCCUUUACAGAGAGGGUUCUACAUGAAACCCCAAAUAGUUCUACCUGGAACAAAAAAGGGUUCUACCUGGAACCAAAAAGGCUUCUCCUAUGAGGACAGCCGAAGAACAAUUUUGGAACCCUUUUUCUAAGAGUGUAGAUGUAUCCAGCACCACACCCAGCAUUAUUGGCAGGGGUGAGCUGUACUGUCAGGCAUUGUACAGUACACUGUGAUGUGUUCCACUUUCCCCUGGCCUGGCCUUCAGUGUGUGUGUGUGUGUGUCAGAGAGACAAAGGCCAAUCAGUGCUUUCCUCUUUCACUUAGAGACAGCGAUGCAUGCCAUGUCCCCCUCUCUCUCAUGUCUCUGUUUUCUGUACAGUGCAUUGUGGAAGACGAAUGACUGCCUUUUAUCUCUCUCUUUUUCUCUCUCUUUCCUUCUCUCUUUCUCUCUCUCUCCCUCUCUCUAGACAUCUCUGUAUUUCCCUCCCUCUUUCUCUCUCUCUUCCUCUUUCAUUCCUCUAUCACCUCUAACCUUCUCCCUUCAUCUCUUUCUAACUCCUUUAACCUCUCUGUGUCACUCCCCCUCUCUCUCUAGGCCUUUCCUCUCCUCACAGCUGUACCUUUCCUCUGUGUGCAAAGCGGAGCCACUCUUCCCAGUGCUGUCGCAGUGAAAGUGGAAAAACAGCUCGAUGACCCUUUAAAAAGACAUCCUGUGGAAUUUCCUCCAAUAGAUUCGGAGUGCCUGGGAAUUUUAGACAGGCACCUGCAGUUGUUUGUGUUUUAUUCUGUAAUAAAAGAGGACCAGUCAAUUUGCUGCACAGUGUCUCCUAAAGGAGUUUGAGGUAGAUAGUGCUGUGAGCUUUUGUUUUACAUUGUUGUUUCUUCAUUGGUUAAUAUUACAAACGCAAUC
rnacentral:lncRNA from 1 species